rnacentral:lncRNA from 1 species
AUUUAACUAGGUUCGCAAAACACGUAAGGCAAACAGGCAUAAAGAAAAAAGGGAAAGGGAGAAAGGAAAAGAUUUAGACCAUUGGGCCUAAAUCAAUGAGACCUGUCCUAGUCUAGUUGGGAUUUCGACCCAUUUUCACCUGUUCUAAUCUAGUUUUCAAGCGUUUGGCUCGAGUCUCGCUCCACCUGUAUUAAAUUUACAACUUUGGCUUCGUGGCCCAGAUGAAUGAAUGAAAAUAAAUAACUGAAUAAAUAAAGACAACAAUAAUAAAUGAAAUGGAAACCGAGACUUUCAAGUCUCUUGGCCGCUUCAAAUGUGGGUUUUUAACCCGUUCUUCUUCUUUCGAUUCCUUGUAUUCGUGUACUAUGAGAUUGUCUCCUUAGGGACUUCAAAAUCGACUCAUGAGGGAUUGGCUUCAAUGACCCACAUCGAUAAUGCAACAAUGGGAAUAGAGUCCAUUUAGACUCGAAUGUUUCCACAUACAGAAGAAAAGAAGGAAAAAUAAAGUAAUUAAUACACGUUCAAAAUAAUAUUCAAAAAUGCUAAAAUAUCAUGCAUCUUAUUUAAUAGCGGGCAAAUAUUAAAUAUAUGAGAUGGGCAUGUUAAUUCAGCGAAGUUAAAACUUCAAUCAAAAUUUCAAGAGCAGAUAAUUUACCUAUUGGUCAGGGCACAUUCGAAUAAACUUACUGAGCGAUAAAAGACCAAAUUUAGGAAAAUUUAAUAAAUCAAAUUCACAUUAGGAGUAUUUCCCUAUCUGCUUGGGCAUAGUAGUCUAUAAUUCUUUAGCUAAUGAGAAACCAAAUUCACAUUAUGUCUAGGUAUACUUAUCCUCAAUGAACACUACAAUCAGGGAAACGGACAAAUUAUUUACUAUCACAUAAGCACUUAGAUAAUCAAAGAAGCAUUUAGGUGAAGCACAGGUAAAGCUUGACUAGGAAAAUUUCCUCAAAGUAGAACAAAUCAAGGCUAGUCAACUUAUACAGUGUUCUACAAGCAAAUAGUUUUAUUGGAUACAGUACAAGAGCAUGAAAUGCACAAAUAAUAUCGAAUCAUAUGAAAAUAUUGUUACUUCGUUAUCCCACAAAAUAAUUCACUGCAAAUAAUGACGCUUUGGUGCCGAUGAGGAUGAAAAGAACAUUGCCACAGGUGAUUUCGAACAUGAACUACAAUGGAUGGAAAACUAGCCACAUUCUGACAAACCAUAUGUUGAAAAGUAACGCUUUCUUCUUCAUUGAUAGGUGCAGGCAAAUGAAUAAAGCCAUGAAUCAACUAACAGAAAUCGGCUUAUUAACUGGAUUUGGAUUUGAAAUACCCUUUUUAGUUUUCAGCUUCAGACGAAUAUUCAAAUCGAUCCUAAAUAUUAAUAAAGAUUAAUAAAGAGAUCAUGUUAAUGAAAUGUAGGUUCCGCAAACAACAGACUCAAUGUGGUCCAUCCCUUUAACGAACCUUACUCAUAACAAGAGCUUAAUUUACCGAGAAGUGAAUCCACCACUAACUAAACAGUAAAAAAGGUUUAGAUUUUACCUAAAUUUCAACCUCUAUCUUAAGCAUAUGAGACUUACUAACCAACACAAGUGGCCAAAUUUUCCCCAUUUAUACAUUUGAAAUUAUGAAAUCAAAAAUUAAUAUUAGUUGAAAAAUUAGCAAAUUUACACACCACAUAUAUGUAUACAUGACCGACACACAAUUGAGUUCAUACAUUUUUAAGCUAUUUAUACAUCUACUUGAACGAAUGCAAGAUGAAACGACACAAAAUACACUCAAUGUGGUCCGGCUCUUCACUGGAUCCUACAUAUAUGGAAACUUCGUACACCAACAACUAAAAUCGCACAAAGUUUCAAUCUUUACCUGAAUUUUCAACCUCCGACCUAGGCACAUGAAACUUACAAACUAACUCAACUAGCCAAAAAUUUUCCAGCAAACAUAUCGAUUCAAAUAAAGCGUAAUGACAACUAUCAUAAACGCAACCUAUGGCUAUUAAAUCCAUCUACCAGCAAUCAAUCUCAGCACCGAAUGUUACCACAAAAAAAAAUUAGUUAUCGCUCCAGAAAAUUGAAAUGAAGCAGAAAAGAUCGAAAUUUGAAACGGAAAAGGAAUGUUACCUUUUGGAGAGCAGAAAAACAGGACCACGAGUUAAUCGUCGGGAUAUUGAUCACCACCGGAGCUUCACCACUACUUCGAUGAUUUCGAUGAACUUUCAAAACAAGAACAGGAUUUCUACUAAAGAAUUAAUAUUUCUCCGAAAGUUUCCUUUCUUUUUCCUUUCUUCCUUCUCUCUCAAUUUUUCCGAACCAGGAUUUCUCUCAGAAAAACGUCCCCCCUAGCCUCUCAAUCAAUUUUUCAAACCCAGAGUUUGGAAACCUAGAAUUUCCAGCCUCCAAAAAACCCUAAAAAAAUUCUUCCAAAUUUCCAGCCCCAAACUUAGAACCCUAGAGUCCCCCCCCCCCCCAAAAAAAACAAAACUUACUAAUCCAAAAGGGAAGAAGCAGAAACACAAAUCCCCUCUCCUCAAAGAACAAAAGGCUUCUUAUAUAGGAGAUGAAUAGGGGUCCUCUUGGGACUUUCGAAAACGUCUCAAUUUUGGAUUCCCCCAACAGAUUUUAGAAAAGCAACUAAUAGAAAUUGGGGAAGUGGAUCAUUCCCCUAAGGAUUAAUGAAAUUUUACCAAAUAUGUACAAAAUCGUACGGAUUAAUCCGAAUUUUUAGGGAUUUGAACGUUGGGAGGAGACACUAGGCGUGUUUCUAGAGGACUUCGUGGAAUUGCCUUUAACUAAAUAGACUUUAAAGUUCAAUCAACAAUCCAGAUAACCAACUAAAAACGAGCAUUUGGGCAUCACUCGAAAGCUAAUUUGCGCGGACUCUUCACUAUUGAACCUGAUUCAAGAUUGUCUUUUUACCAGCUAGAAACCAACUAACCAAGGACCAUUUCUACAUAGAACCUCAUGAAGGGGUAGUAAUUCACGCAACAUUCUUUCUACGCGCAAUGAUAAUCGAAUUCAACUAUUUAGAAACAACAAUGAGAGUUGUAAAACAGCUACAACCAUCAUUAAUGGUAGUAUCAGAACUAGAAGCAACUUUGAAUGCACUUGUAUUCGUGAACUACUUCAUAGACUCGUUAUUCUAUUGCAAUGCAUUAUUUAAUUGUUUAGAUGUUGUAAUGAAACGGGAUGAUCAAUAUAGAAUGACAGUAGAAGAGUUAUAUGGAGAGGAGAUUUUGAACACAAUAGAAAGUGAAGGCAAACAAAGGGUAAUAAGAAGUGUGAAUUAGCAAUUUUUUUUCAAAUGUACUUGUACAGCAAGAUCACAUAAAACAACUUACUCUACAGAGUAGAAAAUGCAGUCUUGUGCAAAUAAAAAAUGUAGUCUGUGCACUAAAACAUUUACUGUGUGUGACUGAACCAAAAGGCCUGAAUCAAAGAAUCAUGUGUAAGUUAAUCUCUUUAUAACAAUUUCUUAUUUGUGUUUCAUUUAGAGUUUGCUUAGAAUUGUUUCCCUAAACUAAAUGCUGCAGCUAUUGAUUAAAUUUGGUGUUAUACAAUGAUGUAUUGACCAUGCUUUAUUUUGUCAUAAUUGUAUACUGUGUGUUAGAGGGAGAACAAGAAAGCUCUUUGAAUUUCCAUAUUGAUGCGUGCUAAAUUAUUUAGUCUCGCCUCAUAAAUUAAUUUACGGGAUUGAUCAGUUAGGUUUCGCGAACUGAACCCGUAGGUUCUACAUAAUGAGAACAAAAGUUGGGCUACAUUAUUGUCUUGAUGAUUAAAAUCCCUAGGAAGCCAUUGGGUUGUUUGUCAGAUGCUUUAUUCAACUUUCUAUUGUAUUGCUUGGUUUUUCCUGUUGCCCUUCUUUCAAAGAAUAGAUGCUUCCUCUUAUGCCAUAAUCGUAAUGCCUGUUUUCGCCACAUAACUCUUUAUAUAGUCAAAUAUCUCUGUAAUGAAAUUGUUUAUUGGAUAUUACUUAUCUCCUAAAGUUGGUGCAAGCCCCUUAGUUCUUAAUGAAACAAAUUGUUGAUUUUCCCUGAUAUGGCAUAGCAGUGAAACAUAAACAUCUUAAUGUUCCUUUUCUUGUUUUGCAGUUGCAGUUUUUAUGUGCGAAGUCUUUGUUUGUGCUGCUAUAUAGUCUUCCAUUUAGCAGGUAACGUUUUCAUUGUAACUUCAAAUUUGUAUAGGUACUGUAUAUUUGUGAUUCUAUACUUGCUUUCAUGUUACUAAUAUGUUAACUGCUAUGUUGUCUUAUAUUAACCACUGUUAGAAAAUCAAUAUUACAAUGUCAAAUAAAAAUAAACAAGCAAAUCCAAACUUUGAAAAAGCACAUGAGGAUAAAAAAGCUAGACGCCGUGAAUUAUAUAAAAUAAUGCAAUCCAAUAAAAAAGAAGUUUUACUAGAUAAAGCAUGAACAAUUAAAGCUGAACGUACCUACCGAUGAUUUGGUGCAACCUCAAUUAGCUUAAUUAAGCAACAACCUUAAUUAGAGCAAGGAUCAACAUCAAAUAAUACUGAACAAUAUAAUGACAACUCAACUAUGACACAAACAUCUACAAAUUAUGUCAUAUUAAAAUCUGUUCCAAAAUGUAAUUUUUAUCGGGCAAGAAAAUUUGAAUACAAACCACCUGCUUUUGGUUGUGGCAAAGGCGCUAUCAAGCUAAUUUCUCAUUGGCUUCCCACCGAAUUAAUGAUUCUUUUGUCACGACCCGAACCAGGGCCUGGUCGUGAUGAGUAUUUCGAACCAUGAAGGCCUGAAACACCCCUGUCUGUCUGGUAAUCAUGCACCUAAUUCGUGUGAUCAAAGUAAUGCGGAAGAAACACAAUAAUUCAGAAACAUGGUCAUAAAUAUGAAAAAAAUAAUAACGGGGAAAUAAGUUUCCCCCAACAUCAAUCAACCUCUAAACAAUUGUCUGCGAAAAUCUCUAACAAAUGACUGAGUCAAGUAACUGUAUAUAAACUGGGACAAGGCUCCCAGUAGACCCCAAAACUAAAUAUAAGAUAAAAGGACUACAGGACAUAAGACCUUCCGAAUAGAAGGCUCACCACUUGUCUCUGCAACUCUGUCUGAAUGAUCUACUAUUUCUCUUGACCCCUAGACUGGGCGUCUAAACUUAAGAAGUUUGAGAGGGAAGGGGGUCAGCACAAAAGUACUGGCAUGCAGAGAUAUCAAAACAAAAUAUAAUAUUUUUACAAAAUAUAGUUGAGAGCCAUUAUAAAGCAAUUUCGUAUCAAAUCAUUUGAAAACACAUGGGCGUAAUGCAAUAGUUUCUCAACAACUAUGAAAUGCAACUGAGCUAGGUGGAAUACCCUACAUAAUUUACACCAACUGUCUAACCUCGGUUGCCACCGAGAUUAGAGUAUAAGUGAGGGAGAGACACACAAGACCAUAAAGCAUGGUGUCUCGACCCAAUGGUAGUGCCCAAGAUCACUUAGCCCGGUCUUCUACCUAUAGUCCCAAUUUGGGAAUGACAUAAAGUCAAUUACACAAGAUCACAUAGCCUGGUACCAAAUUUCCGUGUUGGUAAACACAUUUUCCGGCGAUGAUCCCUUACACUCAAACGCCUUCUUCGGGCAUCCACCUAUCUCAUGUAAAAUUAAUGCAUUCAAAUUUCAUCUGAUUCAAUCACAUAUCAUAUUCUGUAGGGUAUCAUCAUACCCAUACCCGACUUGUAAGUCCUCAAUAUCAAUUCCAUAUAUGCAUAAUCAUGUAAAAUCCAAGGUGCUUCAUCAUUUACAAGUGGUGAACAAUAUUUAUUUCAAAUUCAUGCUCUCUUUUGUUGGUCACAAUAUGAUAUGAGGUGUCAAGACAUUAUCAUGGGAAUUUGAAAGAAAUUUAUCAUUCAUAUUUAUCAAACUUCCAUGGAAAAUCUCAAAUCACAUAUGCAUAGUUUCUACCAUUGAAGUAUAUAGGCAAACAAUUCCAUGACAUAAAGAAAAAUGACUUAGAAAUCAUAUUGAAAACAAGUUAUUAGCAUUUGAUUGAAAACCCCCAUUUAAAAGCAUGCAUGUUCAUAAAAAAUACACCUAUGAGAUUUUAGGAUAACCCCACGUACCUCGAUUACCACGAAUAUUAGAUAUUUCUCGAAGCCUACGUUGAGAGGAUUACAAAUAUACAAUUUGUUCCUAAAACCCCCGGUUGAAUCUCGAGUUGCUUGGGUUUUUAUUUUGAAACCCUAAGGAGAAUCUUUGAGCACUUUUGAUGAAUGAAGGUGUAUUUUGGGGUCCUUGGAACAGAAUUUCGUUUUUUAGGGCUAAGUAAGGGUGGAAAAGGAUCAUUUUGUCCCCAAAACGGAGUGUUUAAGUCACUUGAAUUCUUUACAUAGGCGCCGCCCAUCUCAUUGCCUAUGUUUACAUAGGCGCCGCCUAGGCUAUCGCCUAUGCUUUCUAGUGGCCAUGGGUGAUUGGUUAGGCGACACAUAUCACUUUGAAAGGCCAUAAUUCUUGCUCGAGUGUCGAAUUUUAGCAAAAUUGGUAUCGUUGGAAAGCUAACUCGAAGACCUAUUAUUUGACACAUAGUAGGCUCCCUAAUUCGACAUAUACAGAGAGUUAUGGUUGAUGGGAGCUGACACACUUUACCACGUCCACUAAAACUUAGUCGAUCGAAAUAGUUUCAACUCGUCCUUGAGUUGAAGGACCUCUAUGGUCUAAAUUCAAGCUUGAAUGGAUUCACAUGCUACACAAAUAAUUGACAUGCCGUAUUGGCAAUAGGAUUUUAUGGCUUCGGUAUUUAUCAACACAUCGAAAUCAUGGCCUAUAUUGUAGUCUGAAAUGUGGGGCGUUACAUCUUUAUCUGGGAAAUACUGAAGAAUCAAAACACUUUCGAACUUAUAUAAGAGCAUAUAAUAACAUAUUUGCAUUUAUAUCUCUUGGGGUAGCUUAUGAUAAGGGAUUAUCACAAAGAAACAAAGGUAUUUAUACAUUUCCAGUUCAAGGAAAAAUGUAUCAUUUAAUAAAUGACUUGAUACCAAGCGAUGAAAAUUGAUAAAAAUAUGCAAUUAUACUAAUUUGAUAGUGAGAAUGAGUUGAAAAAUAGAAUGACAUGUUCAAACAAGCUAAAUGAAUAUACUGUUAAAAAGUUAAUGGAAAUAUUAAACAUUAAUCCAUACUCAAUAUUUUUAAAAUCUGUAAUAAAUAUUCCACAACUUUCUGAUUUCUAUAUUGCAUUUAAAUCUGAUGCUGGUUUAAAUCAACGAACAUACAAUUUACCAACUACAUCAGAGGUUGCAGGAAUAUGGGUAGAUCAAGAUGCCAACAAUUAUGUUUCUGCACCUCAUAUACGAAUAUAUACAACAAGUGAUAGGAGUCAACUGGUAAAUUAUUACUAUGAUUGUUAUGACCCAUUGCAAUAUCCAUUGAUGUUUUCUUAUGGUUAAAAUGGUUGGCACUGUGGUAUUGAAAAAAUUAAACGUACAGCCAGUUCUACUACAACACAAAUAUAUUGUGAACAUGAACAUUACCUGGUGUAAAUAAUAUGACUUCAAUUGGUGGAUUUCUUAACUUAGAAAAUGACAUCCUGCGAAAAGGUAAACGAAAAAAAGAUGUGGUUUCUUGUCGUGAAUAUUAUUGUUAUAAGCUUCAAAUAAGAGAUGAUGAAGAUAUAAUAGUGCACUCAGGUAGAUUACUCCAACAAUAUAUUGUAGAUGAAUGGAUCAAAAUUGAAACUCAGAGGCUUGAUUUCGCUUCGUUCAAUCAAGAUUUAUUUAGAAUAGAUGUUUUAGGGGGACUUUUUGAUAUAUUACGCCGUUGUGAAAGAGAAGCUUCUCAAGUAGAAAAGCAUAGAAUAAUUCCUCUUAGUUUCACAAGAGGUCCUAGAGAUAUGCGUCGACGAUAUAUGGAUGCUAUGACUUUAGUUCAAUGUUUUGGAAGACCUGAUAUAUUUCUAACCAUGACUUGCGAUCUUUCUUGGCCUGAAAUUAAACAAAUUCUAAUUCCAACGGAUGAAGUUCAAAACAGACCUGAUUUGAUUUGCUGAAUAUUCCGAGCAAAAUUAGAAGAAUUAAAAAAAGAUAUAUUAAGAAAGCAUAUAUUUGGUAAAGUUGCAACAUUUAUGUGUACAAUAGAAUUUCAAAAAAAAGGACUUCCUCAUGCUCAUUUUCUUAUCAUACUUGAGGAAAAAUAUAAAUUAUUGAUACCAGAAGCGUAUGAUCGAUUUGUUUGUGCAGAGCUACCUGACUCUAAAACAAAUCCAAAUUUAUUUGAACUUGUUAAUCUACACAUGAUACAUGGCCCUUGUGGGAAAUUAAAUCCGACAUGUCCUUGUAUGAAAAAGAAAUGUUCUUGUAAAUUUAAAUAUCCAAAAGAAUUUUCUGACCAAACAUGUAAAGGCAAAAAUUCAUAUCCAAUUUAUAGGCGACGAAAUACAGGAAAAUGUAUAAAAAUCGGAGACCACCUUCUUGAUAAUUCAUGGGUUGUUCCUUACAAUUAAUUUUUAUUAUGUAAAUUCAAUUGCUAUAUGAAUGUAGAAAUCUGUUCUGAUAAUAAAAUUGUUAAAUAUAUUUAUAAAUAUAUAUGUAAAGGACAUGAUAAAAUUAUAUUCCGUCUACAUGAUGAUAACACAAAUGUAGAAAUAGAUGAAAUAAAAGAGUAUCAAUCAGCUAGAUGGGUUUCCCCGCCUGAAGUUGCAUGGCGUAUAUUUGGAUUUCCCAUUAUUGAAAUGAAUCCUUUUUUCUAUCAUUUGCAGCUCCAUCUUUGAUGGACAACAACUUAUUUCUUUCAAAAGUAUCGAUAAUAUUAGCAAAGUUAUAAAUAAUCCAAUGAUUAAGAAAAAUAUGAUAACUAAAUUUUCUAUGAUGAGUACAAUACAUAAAGACGCUAUGAAUUUAAAUUUGUUAUAUCGAGAGUUUCCUGAAUAUUUUGUAUGGUCAACAACAUAUAAAAUGUGGACACGUCGUCAACAAGGAAAUGCAAUUGGCCGUGUUGUAACAUGUCAUCCAACUGAAGGAGAAAGAUAUUAUUUAAGAUUAAUUCUAAUGAAUUUAAGAGGACCUAAAUCAUAUAAAGAUUUGUUAACGGUUGAAUUUUAUAAUACAUUUAGAGAAUCUGCAGAAAAACGAGGACUAUUAUUAUGCGAUAAUAAUUUAAUAGAAUGUAUGUCAGAAGCAGUUGGUUAUCAAAUGUCAUCUAGCUUAAGACAUUUGUUUGUUGUCUUACUAACAUAUUGUAAUCCAAAUAAUCCCAAAGAAUUGUGGGGAAAAUUUAAAGCUGCAAUGUCAGAUGAUUAUAGUAAAUUUGCAAAUCUAUCUUCACAAGAAAUCAGUUAUAAAGUAUUAAAUAAUAUUAACGAUAUUCUUUACUCAAUGGGUCGUGAUAUUAAUGAAUUUCAACUUAUCUCAGAAAAAAUAAAAGCAUCCACUAUAGCCAAAGAAGCUCAAGAUGUACAUUUUGAAAGAAAUAUUAGCGUUAGUGAUGAAGAUUUAUUAUUGAAAAAUAAAUUCAACAAUGAACAACGAACAACUUACAAUAUAAUCCUUGAAAAAGAGUGUUCUCAAAUAAACCUGGGGCUUUCUUUAUUGAUGGUCCUGGUGGAACUGGUAAAAGUAUUUUAUAUCGUGCAUUAUUAGCUACUGUGAAACAUAGAGGGUUUAUAGCUUUGGCAACUGCAAGUUCUGGUGUUGCAGCCUCACUUCUUCAUGGAGGUUGCACUGCUCAUUCUUGAUUUAAAUUGCCUAUAAAUAUUGAUGAAAAUUUUAGUGGUAAUAUUAGCAAACAAAGUUCAUUGGCAUCUUUAAUCCGUGAUGCAAAAUUAAUAGUUUGGGAUGAAAUCUUAAUGGCAAAAAAAAAAAAUUGUAGAGGCCUUGGAUUUGCUUCUUAAAGAUCUUAUGAAAAGAAAGAUUCUCUUCGGUGGAAAAAUUGUUUUUAGUGGUGAUUUCAGACAAAUCCUAUCUGUUGUUCGUAGUGGCAAAAAAGAAGACUUUGUCCGUGAAAGUUUACUAUGUUCUAAGAUUUGGAAUCAACUCCAAAAACUACAAUUAUCUGAAAAUAUGCGAGCAAGAACUGAUCUUCUUUUUGUGACUACUUAAUGAGAAUCGGUAAUGGAAAUGAGAAACAAAAUGCUCAAGGAAAAAUUCAAAUACCAAAAUCUUUAAUCAUUCCUUUCACUACUGAAAAAGAUUUAUUGAACUUGCUAUUUAAAGUUACUUAUCCCAAUUUAUAUACAUCUUACUCAAAUAUUUCUUUUACUACUUCUCGAGCUAUUUUAACAACCAAAAAUGAUUUUUUAGAUGAAAUAAAUGAAAUGUUGGUUACUCAAUACCCAUCCAAUGCAAAAGUAUAUGUGGCUACUAAUGAAACUCUUGAUCCAAAAGAUCAAAGUGAAUAUGAAGAUUUUAUGCAUACUUUAAAUCCUACUGAAUUACCUCCUUACAAGUUAUGUUUAAAAAAAUAUUGCCCCAUUAUCUUGCUAAGAAAUUUAAAUCCUUUAGAAGGUUUAUGUAACGGAACAUGAUUAACAUGUGAUGAUUUUAAAGCUUACGUUAUCAAUGCUGCAAUAUCUAGUGGCGAAUUUAAAAAUACUCAUGUAUUCAUUCCACGCAUACCAUUAUUAACCUUAAUAGAUGAAAAAAUUUUGUUACAAUUUAAAAGAACACAAUUUCCAGUGCGAUUACGUUUUGCCAUGACCAUUAACAAAACGUAAGGACAAACAUUAGACUUUGUUGGCAUUUAUUUAAGAGAAUCAGUAUUUUCUCAUGGUCAACUAUAUAUUGCUUUGUCAAGAGCCAAGAGUUCUAACAAUGUUAGAGUACUAAGAAAACCUCUUAUUGCUGAUAAUCAUGAUGAUUGUUGUACGUCUAAUAUAGUAUACGAUGAAAUUAUUGCAAAAUUUCAGUAUUAAUGGUAAAUCCUCUUACAUUUUAACUACUGUUAUUCUUAUCCUCAAAAUUAUAUCGGGAACCCUCUCAAAAAAGUAAAGUAAUAUUUCAAUGGAGAAGGUUGCAGCCAGUGGUAGCAGUUCUAGAUGGUCCCUUUCAGGGUUUACCGCUCUCGUAACCGGCGGGACACGUGGAAUUGGGUAAACUGAAUUUUGAUACCUUUUUAAGUUUUUUUCAAAUACAUUUUUCUAAAUUUCAAUUUGGAUAUUCAUUUUUAGGCAUGCAGUUGUGGAGGAAUUGGCGGAACGGGGCGCCACAGUGUACACUUGUUCACGUAAUGAAGCGGAGCUCAACAAGCGCCUGCAAGAGUGGGCCGCUAAAGGCCUUCAAGUGUAAGGUUCUGUUUGCGAUGCAUCUUCUAGGGAAAACAGAGUUCAGCUUAUGGAGAAUGUCUCCUCGGCUUUCGACGGAAAGCUGAACAUUCUUGUGUGUUAUAUAACCUAUUCUCUUAUAAAUCCCUCCCUUGAUGAACUGCUUAACAAAUGGUCUCUAUAUUCAAAUUAAUCAAGUAAUUGUAGUGCUUUAAAGCUGAAUAUAAUGGAACAGAAGCUGUAACUUGAUUGUAUUGUACAGCUGGCACAAGAGUUAGUGAAACAUCUUUUGUUCUCUACUUUUGGACUAUCGUUGGGAGCCAUUUUUUGCUGCAUCCUAAAGCAUACAUCUAACGAUGCAAUGUAUCAUGUAUAUACUAAAGAUGACUGCUCUCUCUGUUCUCCUACAUAGGUGCGUAACUAUCAACUUAUUUUUGUAUUUCUUUCGAUCGUUUAUGUCAACAAAGGUGAUGGCUGAACCCACAAUCGCAAAAGUAAAUUUUAAGGAUUUGCGAAAUUGGGGUUUUCCAGUAUCAAUGAAAUUGUUGUUUUGAUUACUUAUUGACUACACAACUUCCGCCCUACUUCUUGACUUUUUGAUGUUUGUGGAAAUUUUAAUUGUGCUCUCUAAUUUAGGUACUAGAUUGGUUAAAUUAGGAUUGGUGUUAUUUUACAGAACUGCGAUUUCCUCGAAAUAGUGAAAUUUGCGUUUGUGUUGUAAAAAAACCAAUCUAUUCAAAAUUAUGACCAAAGUGACAGGGUAACUUGGCAUCUGUUAUUAUCCCCUUAUUAUACAGCAGCUGAUGUUGCAAUUCAUCAAACACUAAGUAUUCUUAUUGCAUACUCUUAUGUAGUUGCUACUCAGUCCUACUGGUUUAGAUCUGGUAAUGAGAUUCUUUUGACCUGAAGUUGGUGUGUAUCUCUAAAUUUCCUUCUCCUAAAGUCCCAAACUUACUCUGGGAGAUAAUCUCGUGCGAAGAAUGUUGCCAUGUUAAAUAUGCUCCCUUUCCCUCGAAAAGUCUAAUGAUGUGAACAGCUUGUCAUAAUCAAAACCUAUUUACAGUUAAGCUACAACAAUUACAUCUCAGUUCAAAAUAAGUUGGAAUCAACUAAAAUGCUUGUGCUGACCAUUGUAUUCCAUUAAAGUGAAAGGUUAUAUUUGAAUCGAUUAUUUUCAAGAUCUGCUAACAUCUAAAAUAAAUUCUCAACUAAUAUGUAUUGUCUAUAUAUACAUAUUUUCUUUCAUUUUGUCAUGCUUACUUGAUCGAAUUGGAUGAAAUAAUCCCAGCAUGUCUUUUUUUGUUUAGGGUUAUGGUCCAUAAUCUCUAUUUAGUUGGUCUAGAAAUUAUUUGUGUUUUUCAAUAAAAUGACUUUAAGGAAUUUGUAUGUGAAACAUAGAGCAGUAGAUUAGUACAAAAAUUUGCCUAGAGUAGCUGCAAAGGUCAAAAUACAUGCCUGUUCCUUACACGAAAAAAAGGGAAUGUUAGAAUAUGUAUAAUCAUUAUUUAUAAACUUCAAAAGUAAAUAAAUUCCGCUACUAUAAAUGUUGUCGAUCUAUUCAAUAUUUAACUUUCAUCCUAAUAUGCUAGCUAGGAAGGUGUGAAGGUUGUAUAUUAGAGAUAGAAGGUUAGUAGAUAAUAGGGGUACGUUAUCUUGAGUUUCAAAGGUACCAAUCUAUUCGGAAUUCAAUCGAUUUGAAAAUUGUGAGUUGUGCUUUGCCGUUUAGGUACUAGGUUCUAAAAAAAAACUAUGAUAUAGCAUAAAAUAAAUGUUUGUCUUAAAAAAAUAUUCACCAUCUUAAAAACUGUUUUCUCUAACAGUAGUUUCGUGUUUUUGGUGUUAGGAACUUUGUUUUCUGAAAAUUGGGUUUCUGUUGUGGAAUUGAGUUAUAUAUUUCUCCUAUACUUAGAGCCAAAAGUAUUUUUAAAUUUGUAUGACAAAGUAACUUUGUAAAGUAUGUCGUGUUAAUGUACUUUGUAACUCAUUUGUUUCAUCGCCUAAAGUCCAUUUCAUUUUCGAAAAACAAGGGAUAGAAAUUUUCGAUAGCCUAAAGUCCAUUUCAUUUUCGAAAAACAGGGGACACAAAUUUUCGAUAUUUUGGUAGCAAGAUCAAUGAGAGAUUUUUCCAGAAUUUUGUUUUCCUUUUUGAUUAAUUGAAGUUUUAGCUUUUUCUACUUGCACAUGAACUAUCGGUUGUUUCGCUAGCCUCCAUUACUGUAUUUUCAUGUUCUUACUGCUUACGGUGGUUCUCAUUUUUUUUUCAUAUGUUUGGAGCCAUUCCAACGAAAACAGCCUCUCAUCCUUUUUAAGGAAGAGGUAAGGUUUGUGUACACAUUAAAAAUCCUGAGAAGGUCCGUUCUAGGUAUUUGUAAAUUAGAGUAUGUGACAAUUUCUGAUUUGCUAACUUCACUAUCAUGUAUGCGUCAAUUCUUUAGUUCUUUGAAUCCUUCUUUCUCACAUAUGUAAAGAUGCAACAACCUAUGCAAGAGCUGCUUUCUGUCGAAUUGAUCAAUCGAUGGCCAAUAUUUGUUAUUAUUUUUCCUAAAAUAAAUUUCUAAUAAUUAGUUUGUAUUCUUUCAUGCUACAAGUCUCAGUCAUACAUUUGCAAAGCCCAAUCUGAGGAUGCAUCAACUCUUUUUUUGUAUCUAUGUAAAUUAUAUGUACAGUACCGUUUUUCAAAACAUGACUCCUUAAUGUUCACACAUAUAUAUGUAUAUAUAUGUGUGUGUGUAUAUAAAAUGUGUGUGCUACAACCUUGUUCUCUUGAGUUCAAUCGUACUAAUUAAAAUAUUCUACUACUCAAACUUUCUACUCCAAGAUAAAUUCUAAAAUUUAAAAAUUGCAAUCCACAUGUUCUAUUGUUGGGCCCGUGCUGACACGGGCCUUGCACUUCUAGUUCAUACAUAUUUGAGUCUUUAUUUUAUGUGAAAAUAUUGUUAAACUUGUUUCAAAUUAUAUUUUAUCUUAAGAAUUUAUUAUAGACACGCAAAUAAUUAUUCUAUUAUUCAAUUUCUAUCUUAAUAAUAUAAGCUUAGUUAUUGAAUUAAAAUAUUUUUUCGAUAAUAUUAUUUGUUGAUGUUAUUUAUAAUUCUUCAUUUGAAACUAAGCAUUUAGUUGUCGACUAAUAAGUAAAGUUUGUUUUAUUUUAAUUUUAUCUUCUACAUGGUGACAAGUAUAAGUAAUUAACAAACAUUUUACUUUAGAUAAAACCUAAGAAUAAAACAGAUUCCAAAAGAGGAGAAAACAAUGAAAAAAUGAGAAAAGAAUUAAGUUUUUAUAAAAUGAGAAGAAGCAAGUGGGGAACAAGAGGUCCAAACAAACAUUUUACUUUAGAUGAAACCUUAGAAUAAAACAAAUCCCAAAAGAGGAAAACACCUAGAAAAAAUGUGAAGAGAAUUAAGUUUUUUAAAAAUGAGAAGAUGCAAGUGGGGAACAACCGGUGGGUGAGGCCACAGUAUUUAGUCGAGCCGGCAAUAUGGGUCAGGUCCGUUGGGUCAGCUUGAACAGAUCUGUAAUUUGAUGGAAUUGGACUUCAGUUUUUGUAAUUCAUUUAAGAACAUGAUUUUUUAGCUCGGUCCAAAUAAGUCCGUGGACCGUAGAGCUUAAGCAAUGUGGGUUGGGCUAGCCCAUGGAUUGGCUCUUAAGUCAAAUACAUGCAACUAUUUAGAUUACUUAUUAGUAUUUUUAUUUGGUUCAAAGAAUAUCAUGUUAAAAGUUAUUUAACUUUGCUAUUAGGAGUAUUUUUUACAGUGUUGGAGACUUGAUUAACAAAUAUUAAUACUCUGUAAUAUUGUCUGAUAAUAUUUAUAUUUAUUAAUAUUCUAAAAUUAAAUUAUAAAGUAUUAUUUUUUAAAAAGUGAGUUGGCCCGUGAGGUCCGCAGCCCACAGAGUAAUGAUGUGGACUUGGUAUUUUUUGACCCAUCAUUUUGAUGGGCUAGCUCGGCCUGACCCAUCAAACUCAAAGCCCAUGUAGACUAGCUCAAAUAGGCUGAGUCAAUCCGUAUCGACAACUUUAAUAUUUAGGUUGAGUGUUUUUUUUUCCUCAACUUUGUUUUACUUAAAAUUUUUUGGGCUCGGGGAGGGGGGUAAGGGGGGUUAAACAUUUUUAGAGCCGUCAAUGUCACUUUUGGGUUGAGGGGAGAGGAGGAGGCCAAAGUAUUUAGGUUGAUUUUUUUAUUUUAUUUUUUAAUUUGGUUUUACUUGAAAUUUUUUGGACCUUUAAUGUCACUUGACAUCUUUUUAUUCGUGAUUUUGUUAUUUCACUGUGAGUGCACGCAUUUCACAUUUUUGUUGAUAAUGAAAAAGACACCUAAUAAGAAUAUUUUUUUAAAUAAUAAAAUGCUAAUAAAUACUAAUUUUAAUCAAAGUGUCUAAGUAAAUUUUGUGGACAAUUUUAAUUAAAGCACCCUUUUAUUUUGACCACCCCCACCAAACGAAACGUGAUAUAUUAUGUAUGUAAUGGUGGACAAUCUUUCCGAUGACAUUGAAGUAAUUAUUGUAUUUUAGUGGACAAACUUUCCAAAGGCAUAGAAGUAGUUAUCUAGUUUUGUAUGUUUAGCGGAUAAACUUUCCCAUGGCAUAGAAGUUAUUAACACACAUGGGUUGGUGUUUUUGGUUCAGCAAUGAUAAAGUACCUUCAUGCAGAAAUAGUGUACAAUAUUAUAAAAGCUCUGAAACAAUUAAAAUGCCAAAAUAGCCCUCCAUGCUAGCAGAUUGUUAAUAUGGUCACAAGGGGUGGAGCUACGUUGUAGCAAAGGUGGUCAGAUGAACACCCUUCGUCAGAAAAUUAUAAAGAAUACGUACAUGAAAUGCUGCUUUAAAGGGUUAAAUAUACAAUAUGAACAAUCUUGAUACAUGUAGUUGCUCUAGCCUAGUGAUGGUAAGCGUGCAGGGAAUGGGCACUCUUCUUUAGUGCGUGGGUUCGAUCCCCUGCAGGUUGCUUUUUUAAAAGUUUUUUUUUCUCAUAUUUAAAAGAGCUUCUAAAUGCACAGGGGGAAACGAAGGAUUAGUAGAUUUUGUUCCUUUUCUUUAAUUAAAAAUUUAUAUAAAAUUUAAAAGUGAUUAUUUAAAUUAAAAUUAAUAAGUAAAUCCUAAAAAUUCUCUAUAACAUUGCUAAAAGCGAAAAAACUUUAUAUAGAAUUUUCUUUUAAAAAAGACCUCAUUUAAUUCUGCUCUUCAUCUUUCAUGUUUCGUUGUUAUUAUUGUCGUCACUAUAGGUCGACGAAAGCUUGAAGCAUAAAACUGAUUUUUUUUCUUUUUAUUUUUUUGCUUAUCACUUUACUUCGUAUUAAAUUAAACAUGAACACUAAAGUUAAACAUUAUGUGGUUUGAUUUUGAAUUUUUGAUACAUUUAUUCAUGAAAAAAUAAUUAUUAGUAUUAUGUAGUUUGAUUUUAAAAUUUUCAAUGCACCAUUCGUAAAAAAAAAAAAAAAUUUGCUAAUAUAAUGAUUGAACACCCUUCAUAAAAUUUCUGGCUCCGCCACUGAUGGUCUCAUAACUAAGGUAAUUAUAGGCUUAAGUAGAAAAUUUAUCCGCGCGGUAGCAAAAAUACUCAUUAUACUUAUGAAAUGACAUAGAAAGUAUAAACAUUGAGAAUAUUUAAUGCAAUUUGAAUUAAAUGAACCUAAAUGAGAAAAAAUAAUGUGAUAUAGAAUUCCAUCUAAAAAGUGAAACUUUCAGUAAGAUAAGAACUCAACUUGAUUAUGUACUUUGAAGCGCAAUCAGUAUUCUUGUGAUGAUUAUAGCUUGCAUUGAGCACAUAUUUCAGAAAUUUUCUUAUUUUUUCUAAAAAAAAAAAGGUUACUUUGUUCCGACUAUUUGUUAAUUAUAAUAACUUGAGAAAAUAUUUUCAUUCGUAGAGUUUAUUAGUCAAACACAAAUCACUUCUUAUCAAAAGUAUCUUUUAAAUAUUUUUUUUUUGCGGAAAAAAAAUUGAUUUUAGAGAUUUAGCAAAACAAAUUAGUGUUAAAAUAAUUUCUAGCCAGUACAUAUAAUAUAAAAUUUUUCUUUCCUUCAUAAUGACAUUUUCAUGUUCAGAAGUUUUCUUUCAAAAAUAAAAUAUUAAUAAAGUAAGAAAAGAUUUUAUUUUUUAUUUUUUGUUGUCUUCAAUGAGAUCUUUACACUUAUAGAAUAUCUUGUAAAAGUUGUAAAAAAAAAAAAAAACCUUUUUUAAAGAAAAAAAUUAAUUUUGUGUCUCUCUUCCCAUGUGAUUCUCACUUUUUUCUAUUCUUUUAGUAUUCAUUUUGUUUCACAAUUCUCUUUUACUUUCAUUUUUAUCUCAUUUUAUAUGUGUUGUACUUUACUCUAGUAAUUUAAUUUUUUCUUCAUUUUACUUUCAUUUUGUAUCUGUUACUUUGUUUUAAUAAUUUAGCUUAUGCUCUAGUAGAAUGACUAAACAUGUACUGAAAUGUAUGAAUAAUUUUUUUUUCAUAAACAAUGACUAUGUGCCUAACACACACACAUAUCCAAAUAAAAAACAAGAGAGACCUUGAGACAAUUUUGUAGGAGACUGAGAAGCCUCAACAUUUUUAAGAAUUCUCACUUGACUUGUUCAAUAUCAUAAUUCAAUUGAGAUGCAAAUUCCUUUAGAUCCGCAAUCGUUUCAGUUUUUUGAUCGGCGCUGAUAAACCUGCAGGUUUCAACUGCAGCGAACUUGAAAUAAAGCUCAUCUAACAUCAAAUCUUUUUCUUACACAUGAAUAACCAAUAUUAUUAGAUGAAAAAACAAAUAAAUUCAUAAAGAAUGAAUCUAGAUGAAGAAACAAAAAAUUCAUAAAGAAUGAAUCUUGCGGCGAUAUAUUUUUUCUUUGGAAUGGUUCAUCCCGUAUGUCUUUUAGAGAGAGCAAAUAAUAACAAAUAAAAAAAUUAGGCAACAAAGAGGGUGGAGAAAAUUGAAGAAUAUGUGUCUUUUAAGUCUUGAAUGAAGGAUUGGUGCCAUUGACCAACAGAUAGGGUCAAACAUUAUUAGGAAACUUGAUCAAGUUAAUUGUGGACUUGAAUAAUAUUUUCAAAACUUUCUAAUUUUUUCAAAAAUACAAAUCAACCCAACCCACACCCUCUUCAAUCUAAAUCAACCACUCUUUCCUCUCUCUCGACAGCUUCUCUCAACUCUCUCCUAACCAACAGUUCUGUAAAAUUUCUCCCUUCAACCCCCGAUGAUGAAUAGUUAGGCUUCGAGUUCCCCUCUUCAAUUCAAUCAACAUGUCUCUCAUCCCUCUCUUGACAGUUUUUCUCAACUCUCUCCCAACAAACUGUUUAGCAAAUUUCUUAUUUCAAUCCUCGGCGACUUCAAUAUCCGACUACAAAUAGUUGGGAUUCCAGUUCCUUUUCGACUUCAAUCGACGUGACAGCCUUGCUCUCCGGCCACAACAGCUUCGAAUUCUUCAUCGGUCCUUUUCUUCUUUCACAGGUAAAAAUUUAUGGCCUUUUUAGUUUUGAAGAAAACGAGAAACUUGAGCCAACUUCUCUUAUAGUAUUGAUUAACAAUUUCAAUAUUUGUUGAACUAAUUUGAAAUGCGGUCUGAAUAAAACCCUAAUUUCUGGCAUUUCUUCUCUUCUCUUCUCUUUUCGAAGUGAAUUAUGAUAUUUUGUUGUUUGUUGCAUUUUUUUGAAGUUUGAUUUUUAUUGUUUGUGUUUAUAAAAACAAAAAGACAAUUUAGUUUGAUUUGUUCUGUUCUUGUUCUUGGUAAAAAUGGUGAAAUUGUUGUUUUUUGUUUAACAAAAUCGUGCUACUGUUUCCUCCGACAGAUUACCCAUCUGGUGCAACAUAUUAACCAUCUGAUUCAACAGAUUGUUCAUAUGAUGCAACAGAUCAACCAUCUGAUGCACUAAAGGAACCAUCAGAUUACAAUUCUGAUGCAACAAAUUAACAAUCUGAUGCAACAGCUUUACCAUAUGUUGCAACAGCUUUACCAUAUAUUGCAACAGAUUAAGCUUCGGAUAAAAAAUUUGAUGCAACUAAUUAACCAUCUGGUGCAAUGGAAGAACCAUCCGAUUAAUGAUUUGAUGCAACAGAUGAACCUUCCGUUGGAUAAAAUCCUACCAACUCUUCCUACAAGAAAAGUCCAAGACUUGAUUUUUC